rnacentral:lncRNA from 1 species
GCGCAUACUAAGAAGAGGAGGAUGUUCGUGCUGAGGAGGUGAUAAGCACACCAAACAUCCGGCAUUUAGGGUAAUUUUUCCUGUUCCCGAGUCCCUCUCAUGUAUGCGUGGUGUUCCUGUACGUGGGUGUACAACAUGCACUUGUUCCCUGAAUCCCUCCUAUGAACAUCUGCAAAUUAAGUACUAUUUCUUUCUGUUAGUAAUUGGAGCAGUAGUAUCUGUUCCCUGAAUCCCUCUCAUGUAUGUGUGGUGUUCCUGUACGUGGGUAUGCAACAUGUGCUUAUUGCCUAAACCCCUCUCCUGUAUGUACGCAAAUGCCCCAAAAAUGUAUGUCUGCAAAUUAAGUAUUAUUUCUUUCAGUUUACAGUUUACAGUAGUAACUAUUUUGUUCCCUGAAUCUCUAUCAUGUAUGUUUGCAAAUUAAGUAUUAUUUCUUUAAUUUCGGUUUACAGUAGUAAUUGGAGCAGUAGUAUUUUUUUUGUUCCCUGAAUCUCUAACAAGUACGUUUGCAAAUUAAGUAUUUCUUUCAAUUUAUAAAGUACUAACUGGAGCAGUAGUAAAAUUUUUUAUCCAUGAAUCUUUGUCGUGUAUGUCUGCAAAUUAAGUAUUUCUUGCAUCUUACAAUAAUAAUUAGAAGAGAUUUAUAGAGUUAGGUAAUUUUAUUUGGUUACCAAAUGAGCAGGGUUCAUAAUUGGAACAUGGCGUGAUGAAGAAGAAACUAUGGUAACAUAUUCAAUUAAAUAAGACUUUUACAUGUUGCAGUUGCAAUGUUAUUCUGUUUAUUACUUCCAUGAUUUUUGUGCUUUUGAUUUGUUCAGUUCAAGGACAAGUCUAAUCGAGUCCAUCGUGACUGAAACCUAGAAGAUGAUGCCUAGAACAUUGAGGUGAAGAAAUGAAGAUGAUGCAUGGUUGUACAUGUACUUAAUUGAUGUUGUGUUAUGCCAUUUUGUGAGAACUUAAGAUUGAGAAAUGAUGUUAUGUUAUUGAUAUGUCACUAGAGGACAGAGAAUUGUGUACUCAUGUUUAUUUGAUGUUAUGUCAUUUGUAAGAAUCUGAGAGCUUAGUUGGUGAUGUGCACUUGUACUAUGCCAUCUUGUGAGAAUCUAAGAGCUUAUUUGAUGUCAUCCACUUGUGUUAUAUAUAAUAUGAAUGUUGUGAU